rnacentral:rRNA from 1 species
UACGGGAGGCAGCAGUAGGGAAUCUUCGGCAAUGGGGGGAACCCUGACCGAGCAACGCCGCGUGAGUGAAGAAGGUUUUCGGAUCGUAAAGCUCUGUUGUAAGAGAAGAAUGAUAGUAAGAGUGGAAAAUUUACUAAGUGACGGUAUCUUACCAGAAAGGGACGGCUAACUACGUGCCAGCAGCCGCGGUAAU